rnacentral:rRNA from 1 species
CCUCGGGGUGCAGCAGUGAGGAAUAUUGCACAAUGGGGGGAACCCUGAUGCAGCAACGCCGCGUGGAGGAUGACACUUUUCGGAGCGUAAACUCCUUUUAUAUAGGAAGAAGAUGACGGUACUAUAUGAAUAAGCGCCGGCUAACUCCGUGCCAGCAGCCGCGGUAAUACGGAGGGCGCAAGCGUUACUCGGAAUCACUGGGCGUAAAGAGCGUGUAGGCGGAUUAAAAAGUCAGAAGUGAAAUCCUAUAGCUUAACUAUAGAACUGCUUCUGAAACUCUUAAUCUAGAAUAUGGGAGAGGUAGAUGGAAUUUCUGGUGUAGGGGUAAAAUCCGUAGAGAUCAGAAGGAAUACCGAUUGCGAAGGCGAUCUACUAGAACAUUAUUGACGCUGAGACGCGAAAGCGUGGGGAGCAAACAGGAUUAGAUACCCCGGUAGUC